rnacentral:pre_miRNA from 7 species
UUGUACUCUAAGACCCCCUUUUGGGGACCCCCACUCUAGUCUUGGGAGAGAGAGCACACCCAAAGAAACAUGAGAAUCC